UAUAAAUGGAACGGUAGGUAGUUGGCCUAAAAAUAUUACAAAAUCUAACGUUUUUAUCACAACCUGAUUAUAGAGCAAAUGUUUUCUAAUUUCCAAUUUAAAUACAGGUGAAGGUAGAAUUUAAUUACUUUGUGAAGGUAGAAGAUAUUGUUACUGCUGGUAGCCGAGUGGCGAUUGAUCGAUGUGAUGGACAGCAGGCAUACGAAUGCAAAAUGAGAUUUUGAAGAAACAAGAUAGCAAUGCUCAAAUAUAUGGAAACGAAGCCGGAAUGAAAUAUUUCACCCGCGUAUAUUCUCCAAAAAUCAUAUCCUGGUCUCGGGAUUGCUGCAGUUGAUUCUGCCCAGAACAGCGAAUCGAGGCGAAAUGAAUCUUACAAAUCGGGAUAAAGUACGUUCUGGACGGAAGAAAAAGAAAAUAUUCACCUCGAAUCAAGCAAACGUAGAAUGGCAGUUUUAUCUUGAUAGCGAGUUGUUUUAGAAUUGUACAAUCUGUAUUUUCAUUUUUAAUUGAAUUGAGCAAACCGGUAACCAUGGCCCACGUUGGUCAUCUGUCGUGGGGUGAAUAUCUGGAUCGGCGAAGCAAGCGCUGACCUAAAACCCGGUUACAGAGGGAUAGACUGCCAUCUAAAAACACUCUCUUCAAUUGGGACCCGCAAUGGGGCACGCAUGAUUUGAUGUAAUUAUAUUAGUGUUAUAUUGACUAAUUGGACUGAAACUUUGCGCUUGCGCAAGGUAUAUCCAAAUCUCGCUUACUCUUUUUAUGCCCCGUCACAAAUUUCGUUCUGUGCCGAUAUCUUAGCAGAUGUGUUAU